rnacentral:tRNA from 1 species
GGUUCCGUAGCUCAGUUGGUAGAGCGGAUGACUGUUAAUCAUCAGGUCACAGGUUCAAGCCCUGUCGGUACCGCCA